AGCGUUAAUCGGAAUUACUGGGCGUAAAGCGUGCGCAGGCGGUGAUGUAAGACAGUUGUGAAAUCCCCGGGCUCAACCUGGGAACUGCAUCUGUGACUGCAUCGCUGGAGUGCGGCAGAGGGGGAUGGAAUUCCGCGUGUAGCAGUGAAAUGCGUAGAUAUGCGGAGGAACACCGAUGGCGAAGGCAAUCCCCUGGGCCUGCACUGACGCUCAUGCACGAAAGCGUGGGGAGCAAACAGGAUUAGAUACCCUGGUAGUCCACGCCGUAAACGAUGUCUACUAGCCGUUGGGGUCCUUGAGACUUUAGUGGCGCAGUUAACGCGAUAAGUAGACCGCCUGGGGAGUACGGCCGCAAGGUUAAAACUCAAAUGAAUUGACGGGGGCCCGCACAAGCGGUGGAGCAUGUGGUUUAAUUCGAUGCAACGCGAAGAACCUUACCAAGGCUUGACAUAUACGAGAACGGGCCAGAAAUGGUCAACUCUUUGGACACUCGUAAACAGGUGGUGCAUGGUUGUCGUCAGCUCGUGUCGUGAGAUGUUGGGUUAAGUCCCGCAACGAGCGCAACCCUCGUUUUUAGUUGCUAGAAAUCUAAAAAGACUAUCGGUUAUAAACCGGAGGAAGGUGAGGAUGACGUCAAGUCAGCAUGCCCCUUAUAUCCUGGGCUACACACGUGCUACAUUGGGUAAGGACAAUGAGAUGCAAAGCCGCGAGGUCAAGCUAAUCUACAAACCUACUCUAAGUUCGGAUUGGAGGCUGCAACUCGCCUCCAUGAAGUUGGAAUCGCUAGUAAUCGCUGGUCAGCUACACAGCGGUGAAUCCGUUCCCGGGCCUUGUACACACCGCCCGUCACACCAUGGAAGCUGGUUAUACCCAAAGUCGUUAUACUAACCUUCGGGAGGGAGACGCCUAAGGUAGAACUAGUGACUGGGGUGAAGUCGUAACAAGGUAGCCGUACUGGAAAGUGUG
rnacentral:rRNA from 1 species